rnacentral:rRNA from 1 species
UACAGAGGUGGCAAGCGUUGUUCGGAAUUACUGGGCGUAAAGGGCGCGUAGGCGGUCCGAUAAGUCCUGUGUGAAAUCCCUCGGCUCAACUGAGGAACUGCACGGGAGACUGUCGGGCUUGAGUUCGGGAGAGGGAAGCGGAAUUCCGGGUGUGGCGGUGAAAUGCGUAGAUAUCCGGAGGAACACCGGUGGCGAAGGCGGCUUCCUGGACCGACACUGACGCUGAGGCGCGAAAGCGUGGGGAGCAAACAGG